ensembl:lncRNA
AAAGUGCACAGCCAAACAGUGUCUUGAGUAGAGUGAAUAGGAUUGCUCUUCUAUCGCCUCUCUUCUCCCAAAACCGAGCUGACAACCUCCGGCGACGCUUUCCAUUCAAGCUUAGUGGGAACACGUUUUCAUUUCAAUAUCACUGAGUGGGCUGGGACGGCCUUUGAUGUCUACCUAGCUGGUACCUUGUGGGUAAUCUAGCCCUUGGAUUAAGCCAUUUCUAAAACGUUUUUCCCCUCCUCUCUUCCACGGCCAAGAUUGCCAUCACUGCCUCCGUAAUCUUUUGUAACAGAAGCUAAUGCAGAAACACCUGCCACACAAGCCGGGCACAUCCAGUCCUGUCGUCGUAAGAAGAUUACAUUCUGCAAUGCCAGAUUUAAGACUUCUCAUCUGACAUAUAAUUUCAGCUGUGGUCCUUUUGAAAGCGGCACCGUGGCUUGGCUGACAUUUGACAAACCUGUGUGGAGUUGACAGCAUUGGUCUGUGGUCUACCUUAUUUGAAGCAAGGCUGCUUACAGCACAAAAAAAGGUUUGAGUUACUGUUUUGAGAAACACCGCCACGUUAACUGCAGGGCCCAGAGAACGAGAGCUGAUCUAGAGAGGCAUGAUCUCCACCUCCUCUGCCUUCAAAUCAAACUUGCCAAGGUUGCUUGUUAGUAAAAUGUCCAUAAUUAAG